CCUACGGGAGGCAGCAGUGGGGAAUAUUGCACAAUGGACGAGAGCCUGAUGCAGCCACGCCGCGUGAAGGAAGACGGGUUUCUGCUCGUAAACUUCUAUCAACAGGGACGAAAGACAUGACGGUACCUGCAUAUUACACCCCGUCUAACUACGUGCCAGCAGCCGCGGUAAUACGUAGGGGGCAAGCGUUAUCCGGAUUUACUGGGUGUAAAGGGUGAGUAGGCGGCAUGGUAAGCCAGAUGUGAAAGCCUUGGGCUUAACCGGAAGAUUGCAUUUGGCACUAUCAAGCUAGAGUACAGGAGAGGAAAGCGGAAUUCGUGGUGUAGCGGUGAAAUGCGUAGAUAUCAGGAAGAACCCCAGUGGCGAAGGCGGCUUUCUGGACUGAAACUGACGUUGAGGCACGAAAGCGUGGGGAGCGAACAGGAUUAGAUACCCGGGUAGUC
rnacentral:rRNA from 1 species